UUUUCUCUUUAGGCUUUUGGCAUUUCUACAUAUCAUGUUAUCCAUGUUUCACAUGUUUUGUUCACCUUUUUUUUUAUUUUUUCUUCACAUUACAAAAAUCAUAACUCAUUCAAUAUUUGUCUAAUUAACAUGAGGUUUUUUCCAUGAUGACCCUUGCCAUGUCUACUUUUUUUUGAUGAUUUUUAUGGAAAUUGUGCACGUGUGGAUUUC
rnacentral:lncRNA from 1 species